GUUGUGCCCUUGAGGCGUGGCUUCCGGAGCUAACGCGUUAAGUCGACCGCCUGGGGAGUACGGCCGCAAGGUUAAAACUCAAAUGAAUUGACGGGGGCCCGCACAAGCGGUGGAGCAUGUGGUUUAAUUCGAUGCAACGCGAAGAACCUUACCUACUCUUGACAUCCACGGAAUUCGCCAGAGAUGGCUUAGUGCCUUCGGGAACCGUGAGACAGGUGCUGCAUGGCUGUCGUCAGCUCGUGUUGUGAAAUGUUGGGUUAAGUCCCGCAACGAGCGCAACCCUUAUCCUUUGUUGCCAGCGAGUCAUGUUGGGAACUCAAAGGAGACUGCCGGUGAUAAACCGGAGGAAGGUGGGGAUGACGUCAAGUCAUCAUGGCCCUUACGAGUAGGGCUACACACGUGCUACAAUGGCAUAUACAAAGAGAAGCGAACUCGCGAGAGCAAGCGGACCUCAUAAAGUAUGUCGUAGUCCGGAUUGGAGUCUGCAACUCGACUCCAUGAAGUCGGAAUCGCUAGUAAUCGUAGAUCAGAAUGCUACGGUGAAUACGUUCCCGGGCCUUGUACACACCGCCCGUCACACCAUGGGAGUGGGUUGCAAAAGAAGUAGGUAGCUUAACCUUCGGGAGGGCGCUUACCACUUUGUGAUUCAUGACUGGGGUGAAGUCGUAACAAGGUAA
rnacentral:rRNA from 1 species